rnacentral:rRNA from 1 species
AGUGAACGCUGGCGGCAGGCCUAACACAUGCAAGUCGAGCGGCAGCGGGUUCCCGCGAGGGGAUGCCGGCGAGCGGCGGACGGGUGAGGAACACAUCGGAAUCUGCCUGGUUGUGGGGGAUAACGUAGGGAAACUUACGCUAAUACCGCAUGCGACCCUGAGUCGACGGACUGGGGGUGAAAGUGAGGGACCUUCGGGCCUCACGCGACCAGAUGAGCCGAUGUCGAUUAGCUAGUUGGCGGGGUAACGGCCCGCCAAGGCGACGAUCCGUAGCUGGUCUGAGAGGAUGAUCAGCCACACUGGGACUGAGACACGGCCCAGACUCCUACGGGAGGCAGCAGUGGGGAAUCUUGGACAAUGGGCG